AAUCACUGGCAGUCACUGCCAGAGAAUUGUGGCCGGGAGAGGCAGCGGUGCCCCGACUGACGCUGUCAAAGUUGACCUGGAAAGGCACGUCGGAGAGGGUGAGAGCCCCGUGCGCGACACCGUCGGGAAGGGCCGCUACUGUCUUCGGAGAGUCGGGUUGUUUGGGAAUGCAGCCCAAAGUGGGUGGUAAACUCCAUCUAAAGCUAAAUACUGGCACGAGACCGAUAGCGAACAAGUACCAUGAGGGAAAGGUGAAAAGUACUUUGAAAAGAGAGUCAAAAAGACCGCAAAACCGUUAGGAGGGAAGCGAAUGCAGCUGAAGUGGUUCCCCUUCAGGCUCAGGAAGUGUCGGCUCGGCUUGCUGGCCCGGUGGAAGCCGCAAGGCGCUGCCGGUUGGACGGCCGAUCGACUGAUCUGCACUCCUGGGGGGAGCCGGCCAACAACAGUUGCCCCUGGCUCACGAGGGCGGUUGGGCAGGUAGCCUCCUCUUCGAGGUGGAACUUACAGCCAUCCGUCUGGCAGUCUGGGGACGACUGAGGAGAGUUGCGAACUUUCGCACGUGCGGCGCAGGCCCUCCGGGGCCGGACCGCCUCUUUCCGUUUGGGCGCCGCUGUGGGGACUGCUUGCAGUGUCCGCUGACGAACGUCUGCUCGGUGGGGGGACUGGUCACGCCUUGCGCCGCG
rnacentral:rRNA from 1 species